UACGGGGGGGGCAAGCGUUGUUCGGAAUUACUGGGCGUAAAGGGUGCGUAGGCGGUUCGCUAAGUUGGAUGUGAAAACUAUGGGCUCAACCCAUAGCUUGCAUCCAAUGCUGACGAACUAGAGUUCUGGAGGGGGUAGCGGAAUUCCUGGUGUAGCGGUGAAAUGCGUAGAUAUCAGGAGGAACACCGGUGGCGAAGGCGGCUACCUGGACAGAGUCUGACGCUGAGGCACGAAAGCUAGGGGAGCAAACAGG
rnacentral:rRNA from 1 species